AUCUGCCUGCAGGGGAGCUUGGACCGCCAGGCUGAGAGGAAGCGCUGCCGCUUCGACCCUAGAACCUGAUGUGGACAAUGCCAACGCAGGAAACGAGUCGGAUUUUCUG
rnacentral:ncRNA from 2 species